rnacentral:rRNA from 1 species
AGCAGCCGCGGUAAUUCCAGCUCCAAUAGCGUAUAUUAAAGUUGUUGCAGUUAAAAAGCUCGUAGUUGAAUUUCGGGGUUAGUAAGUUGGUCAUGCCUUUGGUAUGCACUGGCUUUACUGAUUCCUCCUUCUUGACGAACCGUGAUGUCAUUAAUUUGGUGUUGCGGGAAAUCAGGACUGUUACUUUGAAAAAAUUAGAGUGUUUAAAGCAGGCUAACGCUUGAAUACAUUAGCAUGGAAUAAUGAAAUAGGACGUUAAUCCUAUUUUGUUGGUUUCUAGGAUCGACGUAAUGAUUAAUAGGGAUAGUUGGGGGCAUUAGUAUUCAAUUGUCAGAGGUGAAAUUCUUGGAUUUAUUGAAGACUAACUACUGCGAAAGCAUUUGCCAAGGAUGUUUUCAUUAAUCAAGAACGAAAGUUAGGGGAUCGAAGACGAUCAGAUACCGUCGUAGUCUUAACCAUAAACUAUGCCGACUAGGGAUCGGAUGAUGUUAAUUCUUUAAUGACUCA